AUCGGUGGCCUCACCACCCUGAACACACCAGAUCUUGUCUGAUAGCAGAAGCUAAGCAGGUCAGGCCUGGUUCGUAGUUGGAUGGGAGAAAAUACAUUCACAGUCCUUCCACUAAUU
rnacentral:rRNA from 1 species